CCAUGUGCACACGCGGCCGCUUUAUUUCUUCUCUGCUCUUUAAAACGACCUCAGACGCAAGCCUCUUUUUGCUGCAGUAAAUCGAUGCCUCAGUGUAAGAGAUGGCUGCUAUCAAGCUUAGUGUGUCGUUUCUAAAAGACAGAUAGCAGUGAAGAAUUCUGAUCUUUCUGUUGCUGUGACGUGAGGUGCACGUGUUGAGCUGUGCAGCGAGUGGCAAUGAUUUUGGUUAGGAAGAAUCGGUUGUGAUCCUCGUGGGGAAGUUCAAAAUAGCGCGAGAGUCUCGCAUGUUGAAGGCCGCUCGGUCGUAAGCUAGUGCCGCUUGCUCCGCAGUGUCAAAAGUUCCUAGCCAUACCCAGACGCCGUUCCUCUUUGAAUCUCGGACCUCAGCUGCGAAUUUCCCCCAUGGCCUUCGCCUGACGCCAAUGUAGUGCGAUUUAACAGAUGGUUUCAUUUCCGCAGGCUUCUGUGAGGUUGUGGUGGCUCGAGGUGAUCGUUCCUGCUUAAUUUUGACCUGGAUGCUUUUCAUAGGAUCAAAGGUGGUCUCUUGCAGAAUAGAGGAAUCGGCGGCUGAAUGCGAGGCGUCCUUCAGGAUCGAGUAAAUGAACAUGUCGUCGGAGUCGUUUUGGUCCAUCGGCAAGGGUCCUGAGAACUCUCUGCGAAAAUCUUCUGGAGAGCGGCACUGAAAGCGCCUUUGUGAACCAAGGACUCAAACGGAUGGGCGCCGGGUUGUCGGGCUGUGGCGAGGGAGGAAUUGUCAGAGGAGAUAUCGCCGGACGCCGAGUUGUAAGGGAAUUUGAACUUUCAGUGCUUGACGUCUCUUUGCUCCACAUGCUUACUGGCUGCUCUUGCAGGUUGUCUAAGCAGAGAAAAUCGCCCUCGGUCAGUUCCUUGACAAAUGGUUUCAUAGUCGAGCGAACCUCUUUUACGAAACUGCCCCCGAACUUCCUCUUCAAAGUGCUGAUCAAUUUAUUACUGUUGCUGUUCUGAGAUGAAUUGUCGCAGGCUUGGUCCAUUUCACUGGUGGAUACGUCGCCAUUGGUGCAAGCUCCAUUGAUCAACUGACCUGAGGAGCAAGGAACGCCAUAAGCACCGCCAGUCUGCCGGCUUGAUGAGGAGGUAAAGUUGCUUGUGAGGAACGGCAAUGGCG
rnacentral:lncRNA from 1 species